GCAACUCGAGCUUCUGAACCUAUGAUAUGAGACAUCAUAGCGCAAAGAGAGAAUAUGCGUCAAUACUUUAAAUGUAUCGGUAUGCUAGGUGAGGUUAGACUGAUAUGCAUGGGCUCAUGUGCGUGAGAUGAUAACUGACUGAAUGAGCAUCACGAAGUCACUAGAUGAGAGUACAUCCAAAACUGUAACUACUGAACAUGCAAUACUGUGCAUAUAGUUAUAUAUCGUGUAUCUGAGAUUAUACUGAGACUGAGUACUAAAUUCUGAUGGCUAAGUAACUGAUAACUGAUAGCCAUGAUCCUGUAGAACUGAUUGAGUUC
rnacentral:lncRNA from 1 species